UAGAGUUUGAGUCCUGGCGUCAGGAUGAAGCUGGCGGCGUGCCUAAUACAUGCAAGUCGAGCGAACAGAUAAGGAGCUUGCUCCUUUGACGUUAGCGGCGGACGGGUGAGUAACACGUGGGUAACCUACCUAUAAGACUGGAAUAACUCCGGGAAACCGGGGCUAAUGCCGGAUAAUAUUUAGAACCGCAUGGUUCUAAAGUGAAAGAUGGUUUUACUAUCACUUAUAGAUGGACCCGCGCCGUAUUAGCUAGUUGGUGGGGUAAUGGCUUACCAAGGCAACGAUACGUAGCCGACCUGAGAGGGUGAUCGGCCACACUGGAACUGAGACACGGUCCAGACUCCUACGGGAGGCAGCAGUAGGGAAUCUUCCACAAUGGGCGAAAGCCUGACGGAGCAACGCCGCGUGAGUGAUGAAGGUCUUCGGAUCGUAAAACUCUGUUAUUAGGGAAGAACAAAUGUGUAAGUAACUGUGCACGUCUUGACGGUACCUAAUCAGAAAGCCACGGCUAACUACGUG
rnacentral:rRNA from 1 species